rnacentral:rRNA from 1 species
AGUGAACGCUGGCGGUAGGCCUAACACAUGCAAGUCGAACGGCAGCACAGGAGAGCUUGCUCUCUGGGUGGCGAGUGGCGGACGGGUGAGGAAUACAUCGGAAUCUACCUUUUCGUGGGGGAUAACGUAGGGAAACUUACGCUAAUACCGCAUACGACCUACGGGUGAAAGUGGGGGACCGCAAGGCCUCACGCGAUUAGAUGAGCCGAUGUCCGAUUAGCUAGUUGGCGGGGUAAUGGCCCACCAAGGCGAGGAUCGGUAGCUGGUCUGAGAGGAUGAUCAGCCACACUGGAACUGAGACACGGUCCAGACUCCUACGGGAGGCAGCAGUGGGGAAUAUUGGACAAUGGGCGCAAGCCUGAUCCAGCCAUACCGCGUGGGUGAAGAAGGCCUUCGGGUUGUAAAGCCCUUUUGUUGGGAAAGAAAUCCUAUCGGUUAAUAACCGGUGGGGAUGACGGUACCCAAAGAAUAAGCACCGGCUAACUUCGUGCCAGCCGCCGCGGUAAGAC